rnacentral:rRNA from 1 species
GACGAACGCUGGCGGCGUGCUUAACACAUGCAAGUCGAACGGAAAGGCCCCUUUGGGGGUACUCGAGUGGCGAACGGGUGAGUAACACGUGAGUAACCUGCCCUUGACUUCGGGAUAACUUCAGGAAACUGGGUCUAAUACCGGAUAGGAAUCCUUGCUGCAUGGUGGGGGUUGGAAAGCUUCGGCGGUUUUGGAUGGACUCGCGGCUUAUCAGCUUGUUGGUGGGGUAGUGGCUUACCAAGGCGUUGACGGGUAGCCGGCCUGCGAGGGCGACCGGCCACAUUGGGACUGAGAUACGGCCCAGACUCCUACGGGAGGCAGGAGUGGGGAAUAUUGCACAAUGGGCGGAAGCCUGAUGCAGCAACGCCGCGUGCGGGAUGACGGCCUUCGGGUUGUAAACCGCUUUCAGCAGGGGCGAAGCUUGUGGUGACGGUACCUGCAGAAGAAGCACCGGCUAACUACGUG